AUUUCAGAUUCAGUUACGUGAGUCCGCUUAAAAGACGUUUGGGGUAACGAUAUACAUUAAUUUUAAAUAAAGCAUUAAUUAGAAAAGGAAAUCGGCCGAUGAUUUUUGGAAGAGGAAAAAGGUUGGUAGAGAUAACGACAAAGAGAUUUUUUGGUGUUUUGCAAUUUGGGAUGAAAUUUAAAUUUAUGAAAUAACCGUAAGGAAUAUUAAAAGUUUCUGACGUUUCUUCAUUAAUUUGUUGAUUAGUUUAAAGAAAACAUUUCAAGUGAAGAUGUAAUUUUCUGGUGUAAAACGUCGAAGAAAGAAUCUAUCCAUUUUCGGCCAAUAGAGGACAUUUCUGUGUAAUGAGUGGAGAAUUGUUUCCAAGAAAACAGAAGAGUUGAAGGAUGUAUUUAUCUUCUUUAUGGAAUACUGAAAUUGAAGUCACUCGUAAAAAGAUACAUGAGUACAUCAAUAAGAAGAAGAAUUUUAUGUAAAUGAAGGGAAACAGAAGUUUAAAUGAAGAUGUUUUAAAAUUAUAUUUUAUUUUGUAAAAUGCACUUUAUAUAAAUUGUUUUGAGAAAUUAUAUGUAUAAAUAACAUUAAUUUUGAUUGUGAUUAUGCAUGUUAAUAUUUUGUGAGCAUUGGUGUAAGCAGUUAUUGUAUAUGCUGUAAAGAUAUCAUUGAAUUAGUUUUAAGCUUUAAAUUUUAGUUUAAGAAAACUUAUGAGGAAGAUACAAAUUACUUUUCUAUCUGCGCACAAAAUUUUAAAAAUACUGCGCUUAAAUCUACAUUUUAAUAUAUUUGAUUGACAAUAAGUUUAACAGUUGCUUUCAGGCGUUUUUUUUAUGUUUUCAUUUAUCGUAUUUUUC